AAUGAACGCUGGCGGCGUGCCUAACACAUGCAAGUCGAACGAGAAACUCCGGGCUUGCUCGGAGGAGUAAAGUGGCGCACGGGUGAGUAACGCGUGGGUAACCUGCCCCAGAAUCUGGGAUAACAUCGCGAAAGCGUUGCUAAUACCGGAUAUCGUCCUUAAAACUGUGGUUUUUGGGAUGAAAGAUGACCUCUCCAUGGAAGUUGUCGUUCAGGGAGGGGCCCGCGUACCAUUAGCUUGUUGGUAGGGUAAUGGCCUACCAAGGCUACGAUGGUUAGCUGGUCUGAGAGGAUGAUCAGCCACACUGGAACUGAAACACGGUCCAGACUCCUACGGGAGGCAGCAGUGAGGAAUUUUGCGCAAUGGGGGAAACCCUGACGCAGCAACGCCGUGUGAGUGAAGAAGGCCUUCGGGUCGUAAAGCUCUGUCAAGGGGGAAAAAAUCCUUUCGAUCAAUAGUCAUUAAGGACUGAUGGUACCCCUAGAGGAAGCACCGGCUAACUCCGUG
rnacentral:rRNA from 1 species